UUCAGGGCUGUAAUUUGCAAUGACAUUCACUGAAGAAUUGCCUUCACUGUGUUUUACAGCAUCUUUCACCUCAUGGAGACUUACAUAAGGUCCAAGAAACUGGAGCUCUGAGAGGAGAGGAAACUAGGACUUCAGGGUUACCAAUUAGCCCUAAGGCCAAGAAAACAAAACACUUCUGGAUCUGCGGCUUGAAGCUUAAAAUCGAGUCGGCAUGCUGCUGGACUCCUUCCGACCCAGCACCUCAGACCAGGUGAGCGGACACGCGAUUCCAGGUGCUUCCAUGAACUACGCAUGGCGUUCUCCCUAUAAACAGGGGGAAGGACAGGCCUUACCAGUUACAGAACCUGCACGCUCACCAGUUUCACUGACCCUGUGCGCAUCUGUGGACCCCCGCAGCAUGAGGGAGCUGGGCCUUUUUGGUCUUUGAAAAUGGACUAAAAGCUAUAGAAUAUUUCAUGGGUUAUUUGUUCUACCGUAAAGACCUGCUUCCUCUUGGGAGAAUGACUCCCUGGCUAAAGAGAGCUGGAAGGUCUGGAUGUCUUCCUUCUCUCCAUGCCCAUC